UUAUCCACGAUUUUCCCAGUUCCCACUGCUAGCUAGCUGUCUGGGAUUCUUAUGUUUCUCCCACUUUUAAAAUUUGAAAUUUGAAAUCCACCUCAAGUCCAUUUUCACAUACUGUAUUGCUCCCGGUUUGUGUUUUUUCCAGCUAUAUAUAAAUUAAGAGCAAGGCUUUCGGAUCUACCACACCCAUCCACCAACACUCAAUUGCUUUCCCACCUCCAGCCAACGCCUCCUUCAUCUUGUGUGUGAAGCCACACACAGCAACUUCCAAACCCCGGUGCUUCCGAAAAAUCCAUCGAUAAGAUCUCCUCCUCCUCCUCCUCCCUUUUGCUCAUUUAUCUUUGACCAUUUUCUUCUUUCAAUCGUUUUUUUGUUGUUCUUCUUCUCCUUUGUUUUCAUAUAUCAGAACAAGAGAGUGAGAGAGUGGGAAUCGUUUUUAUGCUCCACCCACACCUUCCAUGCAAGACAAGUUUGAAGAUAAUGAGGUGAUUUUUUAUUGGGAAAAGAGAAGGAGGUGGAUGGAUGAAUGUUAACGAGAAAGAGAACUCUCUGGAAUUUGGAGAAAGAGAGUGGGAGUUUGGUUUCAACUGUAAGGGAGGAACAAGAGGGCUAGAAAUAAAGCCAUAACAAACACAACCACCACUACAAUGGCAGUGAUAAGCAGAUGGUGUUCCUUCUUUUUUAUGUUUUUGAACUGAGGGUGGGGGCUGAUGCUGUUGCACGGGUUGCUAACAAGUUAUCCACAUAGACCUUGAUUUCCUGUUAAUUUGCACUAGAAAAAUUAGCUUGCAAGGCUAAUUAAACUGGUAGUAUUGUACAAUAAUGAGUUUGUAAGUAUGAAUUGACUGUCAUUGAAUAUUCUAAUUUAAUGAUUUUGCUGUCAAAAGCUGAAGGACAU